CGACCUGAAUACAUUAGCAUGGAUAAUGAAAUAGGACGUUCGAUCCUAUUUUGUUGGUUUCUAGGAUUGACGUAAUGAUUAAUAGGGAUAGUUGGGGGCAUUAGUAUUCAAUUGUCAGAGGUGAAAUUCUUGGAUUUAUUGAAGACUAACUACUGCGAAAAGCAUUUGCCAAGGAUGUUUUCAUUAAUCAAGAACGAAAGUUAGGGGAUCGAAGACGAUCAGAUACCGUCGUAGUCUUAACCAUAAACUAUGCCGACUAGGGAUCGGAUGAUGUUAAUUUUUUAAUGACUCAUUCGGCGCCUUACG
rnacentral:rRNA from 1 species